CUGGCCAGUGCCGUGUUGCCUGCUCCUUACUGUACACAUGGCUGGCAAGGAGACGGGAACAUGGAGCUGCCAU
rnacentral:pre_miRNA from 1 species